rnacentral:rRNA from 1 species
CGCCGCGUGAGGGACGAAGGCUUUCUGAGUUGUAAACCUCUUUCGACAGGUAACGAUUGUGACGGUACUUGUAGAAGAAGCACCCGGCCAACUAUGUGC